rnacentral:rRNA from 1 species
GACGAACGCUGGCGGCGUGCUUAACACAUGCAAGUCGAACGCUGAAGCCCUUUCGGGGGUGGAUGAGUGGCGAACGGGUGGGUAACACGUGGGUAAUCUGCCCUGCACUCUGGGAUAAGCCUUGGAAACGGGGUCUAAUACCGGAUAGGACACAUCGCCGCAUGGUGUGUGUGUGGAAAGUUCCGGCGGUGCAGGUUGAGCCCGCGGCCUAUCAGCUUGUUGGUGGGGUGAUGGCCUACCAAGGCGACGACGGGUAGCGGGCCUGAGAGGGUGACCGGCCACACUGGGACUGAGACACGGCCCAGACUCCUACGGGAGGCAGCAGUGGGGAAUCUUGCGCAAUGGGCGAAAGCCUGACUCAGCAACGCCGCGUGGGGGAUGACGGCCUUCGGGUUGUAAACCUCUUUCGACCGGGACGAAGGGUGACUGACGGUACCGGUAGAAGAAGCACCGGCUAACUACGUGCCAGCAGCCGCAGUAA